rnacentral:rRNA from 1 species
UACGGAGGGGGCUAGCGUUGUUCGGAAUUACUGGGCGUAAAGCGCACGUAGGCGGCUUUGCAAGUUAGAGGUGAAAGCCCGGAGCUUAACUCCGGAAUUGCCUUUAAAACUGCAUCGCUAGAAUUGUGGAGAGGUGAGUGGAAUUCCGAGUGUAGAGGUGAAAUUCGUAGAUAUUCGGAAGAACACCAGUGGCGAAGGCGACUUUCUGGUCUGUAACUGACACUGAGGCGCGAAAGCGUGGGGAGCGAACAGG